GCUUGUUUUGUAAAAACAAAUACAUUCUUAAACUACACAUUAACACAUAUUGUAUCUGGCUUUUUAUUCAGAUGAAUUGGAGCAGAAUGACCCUGAAAGUGAUGCUGCUGAAGAGGACAAAGAGGAAUCAGAUGUGAUCCUUCAGCAGAGGGAUGAUGUGGAACAACAAGAUGGGCAACUGACAGCUGAGCAAGAUGCCCUGGAGCACAUAAAGACUUGCAGAGAUAAACUCUUCCUGGAUGAAAGGUUUAUUGACCACUUUAAAGGGAGGUGUGUGUUUACUCAUGAAUCCAUUGAACCAUCCACAUUCGUUGUUGAGUAUCGGGGAAACAUCUUCUCUCGCAAAGUAACCAGGACAGAAAGGUCUGGUCAAACUUUGAACAAUUAUUUGUUUGACUUCUCAUGGAAUGGAACAAACUGGCGGUGAGUUUAGUGUGUGUGUUGUGUGUUGUGUGUUGUGUGUUGUGUGUUGUGUGUGUGUUGUGUGUGUGUUGUGUGUGUGUGUGUGUGUGUGUGUGUGUGUGAGAGAAUAAAUCCUCCAUGUCUUGAAUAAUAGUAUUGCCAGUUAUCUAACAAUCUGUCACCCCCAUCAAUCCCAGUCAGAGUGAUAAAACAGAUAUUUUGCGAGUCUCAUUACGAUUAUUUUUGUUUCUAGCAUUGAUGCCUCAAAAGAGGAUGGGACCCUCGGGAGACUCGUGAAUGACAAUCACAUAAGUCCCAACUGUGAAAUAAGGACAAUUG
rnacentral:lncRNA from 1 species